UACGUAGGGUGCAAGCGUUGUCCGGAAUUAUUGGGCGUAAAGAGCUCGUAGGCGGUCUGUCACGUCGGCUGUGAAAUCCCGAGGCUCAACCUCGGGUCUGCAGUCGAUACGGGCAAACUAGAGUAUUGCAGGGGAGACUGGAAUUCCUGGUGUAGCGGUGAAAUGCGCAGAUAUCGAGAGGAACACCUGCGGCGAAGGCGGGUUGCUGGGCUGACACUGACGCUGAGGCGCGAAAGCUAGGGGAGCGAACGGG
rnacentral:rRNA from 1 species